rnacentral:rRNA from 1 species
GACGAACGCUGGCGGCGUGCCUAAUACAUGCAAGUCGAACGCAUUUUCUUUCACCGUAGCUUGCUACACCGAAAGAAAAUGAGUGGCGAGCGGGUGAGUAACACGUGGGUAACCUGCCCAUCAGCGGGGGAUAACACUUGGAAACAGGUGCUAAUACCGCAUAAUUCCAUUUACCGCAUGGUAGAUGGGUGAAAGGCGCUUUUGCGUCACUGAUGGAUGGACCCGCGGUGCAUUAGCUAGUUGGUGGGGUAACGGCCUACCAAGGCUGCGAUGCAUAGCCGACCUGAGAGGGUGAUCGGCCACCAUGGGACUGAGACACGGCCCAGACUCCUACGGGAGGCAGCAGUAGGGAAUCUUCGGCAAUGGACGCAAGUCUGACCGAGCAACGCCGCGUGAGUGAAGAAGGGUUUCGGAUCGUAAAACUCUGUUGUUAGAGAAGAACAAGGAUGAGAGUGGAAAGUUCAUCCCUUGACGGUAUCUAACCAGAAAGCCACGGCUAACUACGUG